rnacentral:rRNA from 1 species
GAUGAACGCUGGCGGCGUGCCUAAUACAUGCAAGUCGAGCGAACAGACGAGGAGCUUGCUCCUCUGACGUUAGCGGCGGACGGGUGAGUAACACGUGGAUAACCUACCUAUAAGACUGGGAUAACUUCGGGAAGCCGGAGCUAAUACCGGAUAAUAUAUUGAACCGCAUGGUUCAAUAGUGAAAGACGGUUUUGCUGUCACUUAUAGAUGGAUCCGCGCCGCAUUAGCUAGUUGGUAAGGUAACGGGUUACCAAGGCAACGAUGCGUAGCCGACCUGAGAGGGUGAUCGGCCACACUGGAACUGAGACACGGUCCAGACUCCUACGGGAGGCAGCAGUAGGGAAUCUUCCGCAAUGGGCGAAAGCUUGACGGAGCAACGCCGCGUGAGUGAUGAAGGUCUUCGGAUCGUAAAACUCUGUUAUUAGGGAAGAACAAAUGUGUAAGUAACUAUGCACGUCUUGACGGUACCUAAUCAGAAAGCCACGGCUAACUACGUG